rnacentral:lncRNA from 1 species
AGCUGCUCGCCCAGAGGCUGAAGGAGCAGAGGGACCGCCGGAGUGAGAGCUUGGCGAAGAGGAGGUCCAAGCUUUCUUCCGCCGCCAAGGCCUCCGCUGCCACCUCCGCUUAAGAUUGUAUGGAGCUUGAGAGAUGUUUGAAUGCCUACCUAAGCUAUAGUUGAAGAACCCUCAUGUUCUGUGUUGGAUCAGUCGACCCCCUACCCUUUAGCUUUCUCGAGUGCAAUUUUGCAUGAACAUGCUGCUGGCUUGUCGGAAUUUUUCCAGUACUGGAGAUUUACCAUGUUGGUUUCUAUUGUGAAAGUUUCAGAUAGCUUUAUUACUUUGCACACCGUCAUAUGUCAACCUUCUG